UAUGCCCCACCUACGAUAGUAGAGGGGCAUUAUGUUUUCUGGUCUGUGCGUCCGUCCGUCCGUCUGUCCGUUCGUUCGUCCGUCCGUCUGUCCCGCUUCAGGUUAAAGUUUUUGGUCGAGGUAGUUUUUGAUGAAGUUGAAGUCCAAUCGACUUCAAACUUGGUACACAUGUUCCCUAUGAUAUGAUCUUUCUAAUUUUAAUGCCAAAUUAGAGAUUUUACCCCAAUUUCACGGUCCACUGAACAUAGAAAAUGAUAGUGCGAGUGGGGCAUUCGUGUACUGAGGACACAUUCUUGUUUUUC
rnacentral:lncRNA from 1 species